rnacentral:rRNA from 1 species
GAUGAACGCUGGCGGCGUGCCUAAUACAUGCAAGUCGAGCGAAUGGAUUAAGAGCUUGCUCUUAUGAAGUUAGCGGCGGACGGGUGAGUAACACGUGGGUAACCUGCCCAUAAGACUGGGAUAACUCCGGGAAACCGGGGCUAAUACCGGAUAACAUUUUGAACCGCAUGGUUCGAAAUUGAAAGGCGGCUUCGGCUGUCACUUAUGGAUUGACCCGCGUCUCAUUAGCUAGUUGGAGAGGUAACGGCCCACCAAGGCAACGAAGCGUAGCCGACCUGAGAGGGUGAUAGGCCAAACUGGGACUGAGACACGCCCCAGACUCCUACGGGAGGCAGCAGUAGGGAGUCUUCCGCAAUGAGCGAAAGUCUGACGGAGCAACGCCGCGUGAGUGAUUAAGGCUUUCGGGUCGUAAAACUCUGUUGUUAGGGAAGAACAAGUGCUAGUUGAAUAAGCUGGCACCUUGACGGUACCUAACCAGAAAGCCACGGCUAACUACGUGCCAGCCGCCGCAAUAA